AAAGUAGAGUGAGGUAGAGUAGAGUGAGGUAGAGUAAAGUAAAGUGAGGUAGAGUGAAGCAGAGUGAAGUAGAGUAAAAGAAAUGAGGUAGAGUAAAAUGGAGUGAGGUAGAGUGAAGCAGAAUGGUGUAAAGUGAGUUAGAAAGAUUUAAAGUGAGGUUGAGUAAAGUAGAGUAAGGUAGAGUGAAGCAGAGAGAUGUAAUGUGAAACAGAGUGUGGUACAGUAAAGUAUAGUGAUGUAGAGUAAAGCAGAGUGAGGUAGAGUGAAACAGAAAUGUAGAGGGAGUUAGAGAGAUUUAGAGAUAAGUGAAGCUAGGUAGAGUAAAGUAGAGUGAGGUAGAGUAAAGCAGAGUGAGGUAGCGUAAAGUAGAGUGUGGUAGAGUAAAGCAGAGUGAGGUAGAGUAAAGUAGAGUGAGGUAGAGUAAAGUAGAGUGUGGUAGAGUAAAGUAGAGUGUGGUAGAGUAAAGUAGAGUGAGGUAGAGUAAAGUAGAGUGAGGUAGAGUAAAGCAGAGUGAGGUAGAGUAAAGUAGAGUGAGGUAGAGUAAAGUAGAGUGAGGUAGAGUAAAGUAGAGUGUGGUAGAGUAAAGCAGAGUGAGGUAGAGUAAAGCAGAGUGAGGUAGAGUAAAGUAGAGUGAGGUAGAGUAAAGCAGAGUGAGGUAGAGUAAAGCAGAGUGAGGUAGAGUGAAGCAGAGAGCUGUAAAGUGAUUUUCAGUGAUUUGGAGUGAGUUGGAGCUACGUAAAGCAAAGUAGAGUGGGGUAGAGCAAAGUAGUGUGAGGUAAAGUGGGGUAGAGUGAGGUAGAGUGAGACAUUAG